rnacentral:rRNA from 1 species
GUAGUCUGCAACUCGACUACAUGAAGCUGGAAUCGCUAGUAAUCGCGAAUCAGAAUGUCGCGGUGAAUACGUUCCCGGGUCUUGUACACACCGCCCGUCACACCAUGGGAGUCAGUAACGCCCGAAGUCAGUGACCCAACCAGAGAUGGAGGGAGCUGCCGAAGGCGGGACCGAUAACUGGGGUGAAGUCGUAACAAGGUACC